rnacentral:rRNA from 1 species
UGGGGAAUUUUGGACAAUGGGGGAAACCCUGAUCCAGCCAUCCCGCGUGUGCGAUGAAGGCCUUCGGGUUGUAAAGCACUUUUGGCAGGAAAGAAACGUCAUGGGUUAAUACCCCGUGAAACUGACGGUACCUGCAGAAUAAGCACCGGCUAACUACGUGCCAGCAGCCGCGGUAAUACGUAGGGUGCAAGCGUUAAUCGGAAUUACUGGGCGUAAAGCGUGCGCAGGCGGUUCGGAAAGAAAGAUGUGAAAUCCCAGAGCUCAACUUUGGAACUGCAUUUUUAACUACCGGGUUAGAGUGUGUCAGAGGGAGGUGGAAUUCCGCGUGUGGCAGUGAAAUGCGUAGAUAUGCGGAGGAACACCGAUGGCGAAGGCAGCCUCCUGGGAUAACACUGACGCUCAUGCACGAAAGCGUGGGGAGCAAACAGG